UGACGGUACCCUUUCGAAUAAGAGGUUGCUAACUCUGUGCCAGCAGCAGCGGUAAUACAGAGACCUCGAGCGUUAUCCGGAUUUACUGGGCGUAAAGCGUCUGUAGGGGGUUUGUUAAGUUCCAAGUAAAAUCUUAAGGCUCAACUUUAAGUUCGCUUGGAAAACUAAUAAACUGGAGUCCAGCAGAGGUGCAUGGAACUUGCGGUGUAGGAGUGAAAUCCGUUGAUAUCGCAAGGAACACCAAAGGCGAAGGCAUUGCACUGGGCUGGUACUGACCCUGAGAGACGAAAGCGUGGGGAGCAAAACGGAUUAGAUACCCGUGUAGUCCACGCCGUAAACGAUGGAUACUAGAUGUUCGGGGAUUCGACCCCCUGGGUGUCACAGCUAACGCGUUAAGUAUCCCGCCUGGGAAGUACGGCCGCAAGGCUAAAACUCAAAGGAAUAGACGGGGAUCCGCACAAGCGGUGGAGCGUCUGGUUUAAUUUGAUAGUAAGCAAUGGACCUCACCAAGGUUUGACAUCCUAUGACAACCCUGGAAACAGGGCUUCCUUCGGGCAUAGUGACAGGUGCUGCAUGGUCGUCGUCAGUUCGUGCCGUGAGGUGUUCCGUUAAGUCGGGAAACGAACGAAACCCUCGUCGCAUGUUACAAAUUUCAUGCGAGACUGCCCGGGUCAACCGGGAGGAAGGCGGGGAUGACGUCAGAUCAGCGUGGCCCUUAUACCUUGGGCUACACAGGCGCUACAAUGGCCGGUAUAAAGGGUUGCAAAACCGCGAGGUGAAGCUAAUCCCAUAAAGCCGGUCCAAGUUCGGAUUGGAGGCUGCAACUCGCCUCCAUGAAGUUGGAAUCGCUAGUAAUCGUGGAUCAGCCACACCACGGUGAAUACGUUCCCGGAUCUUGUACUCACCGCCCGUCACACCAAGAGAGUUGGUAGCUCCUGAAGCGUCGCAUUAG
rnacentral:rRNA from 1 species